rfam:Camelus ferus unplaced genomic scaffold scaffold1931, whole genome shotgun sequence.
GGGUAUAUAGCUCAAGCGGUAGAACACAUGCUUAGCAUGCAUGAGGUCCUGGGUUCAAUCCCCAGUACCUCCU